rnacentral:rRNA from 1 species
GAACUGAAGAGUUUGAUCCUGGCUCAGAUUGAACGCUGGCGGCAUGCCUUACACAUGCAAGUCGAACGGCAGCACGGGUGCUUGCACCUGGUGGCGAGUGGCGAACGGGUGAGUAAUACAUCGGAACAUGUCCUGUAGUGGGGGAUAGCCCGGCGAAAGCCGGAUUAAUACC